rnacentral:misc_RNA from 1 species
AAGUCGUAACAAGGUUUCCGUAGGUGAACCUGCGGAAGGAUCAUUACCGAGUUUACAACUCCCAAACCCAUGUGAACAUACCUAUCGUUGCUUCGGCGGAUCGCCCCGGGCGCCUUGCGUGCCCCGGAUCCAGGCGGCCGCCGGGGGACCUUAACUCUUGUUUUUACUGAGAAUCUUCUGAGUCGUUUUUACAAAUAAAUAAAAACUUUCAACAACGGAUCUCUUGGUUCUG